rnacentral:rRNA from 1 species
AUGCUAUACAUGCAGUCGAGCGGACAGAAGGGAGCUUGCUCCCGGAUGUUAGCGGCGGACGGGUGAGUAACACGUGGGUAACCUGCCUGUAAGACUGGGAUAACUCCGGGAAACCGGAGCUAAUACCGGAUAGUUCCUUGAACCGCAUGGUUCAAGGAUGAAAGACGGUUUCGGCUGUCACUUACAGAUGGACCCGCGGCGCAUUAGCUAGUUGGUGAGGUAACGGCUCACCAAGGCGACGAUGCGUAGCCGACCUGAGAGGGUGAUCGGCCACACUGGGACUGAGACACGGCCCAGACUCCUACGGGAGGCAGCAGUAGGGAAUCUUCCGCAAUGGACGAAAGUCUGACGGAGCAACGCCGCGUGAGUGAUGAAGGUUUUCGGAUCGUAAAGCUCUGUUGUUAGGGAAGAACAAGUGCAAGAGUAACUGCUUGCACCUUGACGGUACCUAACCAGAAAGCCACGGCUAACUACGUGCCAGCAGCCGCGGUAAUACGUAGGUGGCAAGCGUUGUCCGGAAUUAUUGGGCGUAAAGGGCUCGCAGGCGGUUUCUUAAGUCUGAUGUGAAAGCCCCCGGCUCAACCGGGGAGGGUCAUUGGAAACUGGGAAACUUGAGUGCAGAAGAGGAGAGUGGAAUUCCACGUGUAGCGGUGAAAUGCGUAGAGAUGUGGAGGAACACCAGUGGCGAAGGCGACUCUCUGGUCUGUAACUGACGCUGAGGAGCGAAAGCGUGGGGAGCGAACAGGAUUAGAUACCCUGGUAGUCCACGCCGUAAACGAUGAGUGCUAAGUGUUUAGGGGGUUUCCGCCCCUUAGUGCUGCAGCUAACGCAUUAAGCACUCCGCCUGGGGGAGUACGGUCGCAAGACUGAAACUCAAAGGAAUUGACGGGGGCCCGCACAAGCGGUGGAGCAUGUGGUUUAAUUCGAAGCAACGCGAAGAACCUUACCAGGUCUUGACAUCCUCUGACAACCCUAGAGAUAGGGCUUUCCCUUCGGGGACAGAGUGACAGGUGGGUGCAUGGUUGUCGUCAGCUCGUGUCGUGAGAUGUUUGGGUUAAGUCCCGCAACGAGCGCAACCCUUGAUCUUAGUUGCCAGCAUUCAGUUGGGCACUCUAAGGUGACUGCCGGUGACAAACCGGAGGAGAAGGGGGGGGGAUGAACUUCAAUCCUUCAGGCCCCUUAUGAACUGGGGGUACCACCUGGUUCAAUGGGAAGAAAAAAAGGGUUGCGAAACCCCCAGGGUUUAUCCAAUCCCCAAAUUUGUUUCUUAUUUUGGAAACCAAUUUGCAACCCCAAGCCUGGAGGUUGGAAACACAUUAAAUUCCGGAUAACAAAGGCCCGCGGGAAAAUAUUUCCCGGGCCUGGGGUAACACCCGGUCCCACCCAGAAUUUGCACACCCCAAAUCGUGAGGUACCUUUUUGGUCCCCCCCAUUG